ACGCUCGACACCUACGGGAGCAGCAGUGGGGAAUAUUGCACAAUGGGGGAAACCCUGAUGCAGCGACGCCGCGUGGAGGAAGAAGGUCUUCGGAUUGUAAACUCCUGUUGUUGGGGAAAAAGAGGAUGGUACCCAACAAGGAAGUGACGGCUAACUACGUGCAGCAGCCGCGGUAAUCUGAGGCGGGCUGGCAAGGC
rnacentral:rRNA from 1 species